rnacentral:rRNA from 1 species
AUGGCUCAAGAUAAUACUAAAUUGUGUGACUUUACCAAUACCAACAAUAAUGAUUUUCUUAGCACUCCGAUUGCUCCUCUUACCUGUACUGAAUCUUGUGAAAUCAAUGCUGCUUUGUUGAAUGUUGUCAUGAAAGAUCAAUUCGCCGGCCUUCCUAGUGAAGAUACCGCUACCCAUCUUAAUAGCUUCGUUGAUUUGUGUGAUAUGCAAAAGAAGAAAGAUGUGGAUAAUGAUGUUGUUAAAUUGAAGCUAUUUCCUUUUUCUCUUAGAGAUCGUGCUAAAGCUUGGUUUUCAUCUUUGCCUAAAAAUAGUAUUGAUUCUUGGAAUAAGUGCAAAGAUGCUUUUAUCUCUAAGUAUUUUCCUCCCGCUAAGAUCAUCUCUCUUAGAAAUGAUAUUAUGAAUUUUAAGCAACUUGAUCAUGAACAUGUUGCACAAGCUUGGGAGAGGAUGAAAUUAUUGAUACGUAAUUGCCCUACACAUGGUUUGAAUCUGUGGAUGAUUAUACAAAAAAUUUAUGCCGGAUUGAAUUUUGCUUCUAGAAAUCUUUUAGAUUCGGCCGCGGGAGGCACUUUUAUGGAAAUCACUUUAGGAGAAGCUACUAAACUCCUAUAUAAUAUUAUGGUUAAUUAUUCUCAAUGA